rnacentral:rRNA from 1 species
CGCGCAGGCGGUUUGGUAAGUCAGAUGUGAAAGCCCGGGGCUCAACCCCGGAAGUGCAUUUGAUACUGCCAAACUUGAGUAUGGGAGAGGGAAGUGGAAUUCCUGGUGUAGAGGUGAAAUUCGUAGAUAUCAGGAGGAACACCGGUGGCGAAGGCGACUUCCUGGACCAAUACUGACGCUGAGGCGCGAAGGCGUGGGGAGCAAACAGGAUUAGAUACCCUGGUAGUCC